CGCUGGCGGCAUGCUUUACACAUGCAAGUCGAACGGCAGCGCGGACUUCGGUCUGGCGGCGAGUGGCGAACGGGUGAGUAAUAUAUCGGAACGUACCCAAGAGUGGGGGAUAACGUAGCGAAAGUUACGCUAAUACCGCAUACGAUCUAUGGAUGAAAGUGGGGGAUCGCAAGACCUCAUGCUCCUGGAGCGGCCGAUAUCUGAUUAGCUAGUUGGUGAGGUAAAGGCUCACCAAGGCGACGAUCAGUAGCUGGUCUGAGAGGACGACCAGCCACACUGGAACUGAGACACGGUCCAGACUCCUACGGGAGGCAGCAGUGGGGAAUUUUGGACAAUGGGCGCAAGCCUGAUCCAGCAAUGCCGCGUGAGUGAAGAAGGCCUUCGGGUUGUAAAGCUCUUUUGUCAGGGAAGAAACGGUAGGAGCUAAUAUCUCUUGCUAAUGACGGUACCUGAAGAAUAAGCACCGGCU
rnacentral:rRNA from 1 species